UCGUUAGGCUUGUCUCCGCCCGCUGGUCCCCCAAUAUUCUUCUCCUGGCCUGGUUAUACCGCUGCCACCUUUCCUGUAACGGCUUACGCUCGGACCCUCUCGCCUCAGUGAGGAUAUUCAGCCCUCGAGAAUAAACACGUAAACAAAGACAAAUAUUCCCUUGCAACUAAACAAUCUGUUGGGCGAGACGAGAGACACCUGCAAUUCAAGUUUGCAGUCGGUGAGUGAACCAAUCCUUUUCCCUCGCAAUUAAUUUCCGCCUUUUUUUUUUUUUUUCUUUGGAGUGCCAACUCCCUUACUGUUUUGUUUAAAUUGUCUUGGACCCCCCGAAUUGGACAACGAUGCUGAUGCCUUCUCGGCACCGCACGGACCACAACCCGAGAGACCCCCGACAACUCUUCCGAUCCGAUCCGUGGACCCCUCGAGUCGGACAACGUGACUGUAGCCCAUUUGGCUACACCAGGACCACAACUCGAGGUAUCCACUCGUCAAAUCUCUUCGAGGCCUCCACGAGUCGGACAACGUGGCUAUAGUCCAUUUGGCUACCCCAGGACCACGACUCUGGAGACCCCUGCUGAAUUCUCCUCCUCAACGGCUACUAUGGCUGGGGUCUAUUCCCGGCUCACGGACCAGCUGAGUUCUAACUCUCUGGCUCACUCUCAAACAGGGUAUCUUCGACCCCCCAUUUAAAACCGAUGCCAUUCAUUUUGAUUGGGCGCCAUUUGUUAUGAUCCGCCUUUUGCCGCCCUGGUCUAUCGUUCCCGGCUAGCUCUCGGGGAAGUCAGGGGUGUUUCCGACCCGAUAGCCAGGGGACGGAUUUAACAAAAAAAA